GACGAACGCUGGCGGCGUGCUUAACACAUGCAAGUCGAACGGUGAAGGGGUCUGCUUUUGUGGGCCCUGGAUGAGUGGCGAACGGGUGAGUAACACGUGAGUAACCUGCCCCCUUCUUCUGGAUAACCGCAUGAAAGUGUGGCUAAUACGGGAUAUUCUGGGUCUGUCGCAUGAUGGGUCUGGGAAAGAUUGCGCCUUUGGGUGUUUUUGGUGGGGGAUGGGCCCGCGGCCUAUCAGCUUGUUGGUGGGGUGAUGGCCUACCAAGGCGGUGACGGGUAGCCGGCCUGAGAGGGUGGACGGUCACACUGGGACUGAGACACGGCCCAGACUCCUACGGGAGGCAGCAGUGGGGAAUAUUGCACAAUGGGCGCAAGCCUGAUGCAGCGACGCCGCGUGAGGGAUGGAGGCCUUCGGGUUGUAAACCUCUUUCGCCAGUGAAGCAGGCCUGCUCCUUGUGGGUGGGUUGACGGUAGCUGGAUAAGAAGCGCCGGCUAACUACGUG
rnacentral:rRNA from 1 species